ensembl:lncRNA
GUGUACUGUAUAAAAAAUACAUUGAUAUCUACAAUGUGUACUAAUGUUUUUUUUACUCAGACUUUACAGGGACACGUCAAACAGCUAACCAGAAUUCCUCCCUGUUUAUGAGUGCAGAGCAACAUACAGUUCAGCCCACAAACUCCACCAUAAACGGGGCAGGUGGAGAGAGCCUCCAAGAUAAACACAAGAGGUCUGUACUCUCCACUUUUUGAACAUCUUAAAUGGGUUCAAAUCAGAUUUUAUUACGUUUUCUGCAAAUCACCCUCUUUUCACUCUUUGUGGCUCCUCAUACAGCUCACCUGAUAAACGGUAUACUGUACAAUCUCUUCAAAACACUAAAUCACGUAUUAGAGCAUGGCAUAUAACUUUUGUUCUUUAGCAUAUAUUCUUAUGUUGCAUAUAGCAAAGCACAUGUCUUUCAGUCAAACUCUAUGUAACACAUACCUAAAAUGUGGCUGCAUAUUUUUUGGUUUUAUGAAUCAAACCUGUAGAAGAAGAAUACAUGAAUGCUUAGGCCAAUUUCAGACAACAUUAUAAGUUUUGCAAAAAAGUUUAACCCUUUUUAGUUAAAUGUACCUCUGAUCUGCAUUUCUCUUCCAGUUUGACUAUUGUGACAAUUUUCACCGCCACUCUCGUCUUGUUGGUUGUUCUCGCUGCCUUUGUUGGAUACAGAAUAAUGAUAAAGCGCAGUAAGUCUGUUGUAAACUAUGCUUAAACCAUUUCAGGAUUAUAAUAAUCUAUUUCUUAAAAUAUUUUCUUUAAAAAAAUCAUGUGUUGUAGAUAACACCAAGACUGAGGGCCCUGACAUUACUGCGGGCUCCAAAAUUGGGAAUGAUCCUGAUGUGCAUUAUGCCACCGUUGUUCAUAAUCAACAUCCAGCAGCCCAGCACAAGAACAAUAUUCCCGAAGAGAUUGUGACGUACAGUACCAUUUUAAUAAAGGAGAGCGUGCGACAAACGGUAUGUGAUUAAUUUCAACGUAAUAUAGGCAUCUCAGUACGCCAACUAUCUGUUAAUAACUCAAAUUGAUGAGUGUUGUGGUCGUGAUUAGUCCAUAAUUAUUCAGCAUUCUGUCCUCUGUGCUUGUUUUCUCUCAUUAGACUGAACCAGUAGAUGGAAGUGUGAUCUACAACACAAUACAAACGAAAACAGAAUAAGUGCUAAUUAGCAGAAAAGAUGGGAGGACAUUAAUCCUGCAAGUAUAGUCACACUGAUGAAGUUAUUCUGAUGUGCACUUCAUUAUAAUACAACCUUUUGGAUGAAUCAAUCAACCCAGCAGUCUGUAUUAGACAAGUGUGCAAUUGAGAGACUCUUAGUCACUUGUGUUAUUUUGUGCAAACCUGCACACAUACAGUUCAUCAAAUAAUAAAGAAAAAGCAAGAUGAAAAUGCUAUUUUUUCCCCAAAUGCAUGUGUUAAAAUCAAGAAUUUGGGAGGGCGAGAACUGCACGGUGGUACUGUGUUAAGACUCUAAAUUAAAGGUUUGAUGUGGAAAAUGUGUCACUUUCUGUUUGACACAGUGAGUAAGAGCAAAUAUUUUAAUAUGGACCAAAAGCAGAUCAGAGGCCACUAAAAUCGACCAAAUAUAGGAAGGUGCUUUGUGAGUAAAAUGCUUUAACUCACUUCAUCGUCUCUUGGUGCAGCUUUUCUAAUGAGAGUUGACAUCUUGCCAUUGAAGCCUAUCAUGAUCCAGGAAGGACAUUUAAUCAUUUCCAUUCCUCAUCCUCCUCCACACAUUGGCUUUAACGAGAUGCUUUAACAACAUCCUCUACAUAUUGCUACUAACAAUUAUUUGAAUUAUCAAUUAAUCAAAAAAACAAGUUUAUCCCAAGUCCAAGGUGAGAUAAAUGUCUUGUUUUGUCAAUACAAAACCCAAAGAUAUUCAAUUUAAUAUGAAAAACUUACUUUAACAAUUAAUCGAUUAUCAAAAUAGUUGCUGAUUUAUUUUUCUGUCGAUUGACUAAUUGUUGCAGCUCUAAUUAUUACUAUGUCUGAUUAAAACAUUUUAUUUUUUGUAUCAUUAAUUAAGUACAUGUAGUGUUCAAUCCAGUAGGACAAUCACAGACAUUGUUUGAGAUGUGAUAUGUGCCUGACUCAAUUACUGAAUGAAAGAAAUUAAAAUAAUUCUGAUUCUUUUGGUAAAUGUAAUGACAGAUGUGUGUUUCGAUUGUGUGUGUAAAUAGUUACCCUUCAUUAUUGUGCAAAUAAAAACUGAAAAUGAAAAAAUAUACAUCAUGAC